AAAUAAAAUUACAUGAAAGACAAUAUAUAUCCUGCACGUGUAUCUCAUCAUCUGGCUAAUGAACAGGAGGAUCGUGCUUUGCUGAUGAUGAAGAAGGACAGGGCUCGAAAUGCUGUGCAGCUGAACUGGCCUCAGACUGCUGUGCUGAAGAAGACGUACCGGCCUCUGUCUGUGAAAACUGAAACUGCACACCAGCAUAUCGUCCCCUGCGACGCAUGAUGUCACCUAGCAUUU
rnacentral:lncRNA from 1 species